UCCAGACUCCUACGGGAGGCAGCAGUGAGGAAUAUUGGUCAAUGGGCGGGAGCCUGAACCAGCCAAGCCGCGUGAAGGAAGAAGGCGCCAAGCGUCGUAAACUUCUUUUGUCGGGGAACAAAGGGCGCCACGUGUGGCGUUGUGAGUGUACCCGAAGAAAAAGCAUCGGCUAACUCCGUGCCAGCAGCCGCGGUAAUACGGAGGAUGCGAGCGUUAUCCGGAUUUAUUGGGUUUAAAGGGUGCGUAGGCGGAUUUUUAAGUCAGCGGUAAAAUGUCCGGGCUCAACCCGGGCCGGCCGUUGAAACUGGGGAUCUUGAGUGGGCGAGAAGUAUGCGGAAUGCGUGGUGUAGCGGUGAAAUGCAUAGAUAUCACGCAGAACUCCGAUUGCGAAGGCAGCAUACCGGCGCCCGACUGACGCUGAGGCACGAAAGCGUGGGUAUCGAACAGGAUUAGAUACCCGGGUAC
rnacentral:rRNA from 1 species